GCGAACGCUGGCGGCAGGCCUAACACAUGCCAGUCGCACGAACUCUUCGGAGUUAGUGGCGGACGGGUGAGUAACACGUGGGAACGUGCCUUUAGGUUCGGAAUAACUCAGGGAAACUUGUGCUAAUACCGAAUGUGCCCUUCGGGGGAAAGAUUUAUCGCCUUUAGAGCGGCCCGCGUCUGAUUAGCUAGUUGGUGAGGUAAAGGCUCACCAAGGCGACGAUCAGUAGCUGGUCUGAGAGGAUGAUCAGCCACAUUGGGACUGAGACACGGCCCAAACUCCUACGGGAGGCAGCAGUGGGGAAUCUUGCGCAAUGGGCGAAAGCCUGACGCAGCCAUGCCGCGUGAAUGAUGAAGGUCUUAGGAUUGUAAAAUUCUUUCACCGGGGACGAUAAUGACGGUACCCGGAGAAGAAGCCCCGGCUAACUUCGU
rnacentral:rRNA from 1 species